CAUGUCCUUUUGAAAAUAAUUUAAGGUCUGAUCUGCUCAAUGAUUAAUUAAAUUGCCGCAGUAUUUUGACUGUGCAAAGGUAGCAUAAUAAUUAGCUUUUUAAUUUGAAGCUGGAAUGAAAGAUUGGACGAGAAAAUUACUGUCUCUUUUUAAUUUUUAUUGAAUUUUAUUUUUAAGUCAAAAAGCUUAAAUUUUUAUAAAAGACGAGAAGACCCUAUAGAGUUUAAUAUUUGGAUUUUAUUAAUUAUUAGAAAUUUAUUUAAAGUUUAAAUAUUUAAUUGGGGUGAUUUGGAGAUUUAAUUAAUUCUCUUAAAUUUUAGUUGAUUAUUAUUAAAUUAUUAAUUUAAAUUUUUUAAAUUUAAAAUAAAUUACCUUAGGGAUAACAGCGUUAUUUUUCUUUAAAGUUCUUAUUGAAAGAAAAUUUUGCGACCUCGAUGUUGGAUUAAAAUAAAUUUUUGGUGCAGUAACUGAAGAAUUAGGUCUGUUCGACCUUUAAUAUUUUACAUGAUCUGAGUUUAAACCGGUGUAAGCCAGGUUGGAUUCUAUCUUUAAUUUUAUAAUACAUUUUAGUACGAAAGGACCAAGUGUGUAUUAAACUUAAUUA
rnacentral:rRNA from 1 species